rnacentral:rRNA from 1 species
GACGUAGGGCGCGAGCGUUGUCCGGAUUUAUUGGGCGUAAAGAGCUCGUAGGCGGCUUGUCGCGUCGACUGUGAAAACCCGCGGCUCAACUGCGGGCCUGCAGCCGAUACGGGCAGGCUAGAGUUCGGUAGGGGAGACUGGAAUUCCUGGUGUAGCGGUGAAAUGCGUAGAUAUCGAGAGGAACACCUGCGGCGAAGGCGGGUUGCUGGGCCGACACUGACGCUGAUGCGCGAAAGCCAGGGGAGCGAACGGG